UGGGGAAUAUUGCACAAUGGAGGGAACUCUGAUGCAGCGACGCCGCGUGAACGAAGAAGGCUUUCGAGUCGUAAAGUUCUUUUAUAUGGGAAGAUAAUGACGGUACCAUAAGAAAAAGCCCCGGCUAACUACGUGCCAGCAGCCGCGGUAAUACGUCGGGGGCUAGCGUUGACCGGAAUCACUGGGCGUAAAGGGUUCUCAGGCGGAAAUGCAAGUCAGGUGUAAAAGGCAGUAGCUUAACUACUGUAAGCAUUUGAAACUGCAUAUCUUGAGAAGAGUAGAGGUAAGUGGAAUUUGUAGUGUAGCGGUGAAAUGCGUAGAUAUUAAAAAGAAUACCGGUGGCGAAGGCGGCUUACUGGGCUCAUUCUGACGCUGAGGAACGAAAGCGAGGGUAGCAAACAGG
rnacentral:rRNA from 1 species